rnacentral:rRNA from 1 species
AUUGAACGCUGGCGGCAGGCUUAACACAUGCAAGUCGAGCGGAGAGAGGUAGCUUGCUACUGAUCUUAGCGGCGGACGGGUGAGUAAUGCUUAGGAAUCUGCCUAUUAGUGGGGGACAACAUUUCGAAAGGAAUGCUAAUACCGCAUACGUCCUACGGGAGAAAGCAGGGGAUCUUCGGACCUUGCGCUAAUAGAUGAGCCUAAGUCGGAUUAGCUAGGUGGUGGGGUAAAGGCCUACCAAGGCGACGAUCUGUAGCGGGUCUGAGAGGAUGAUCCGCCACACUGGGACUGAGACACGGCCCAGACUCCUACGGGAGGCAGCAGUGGGGAAUAUUGGACAAUGGGCGCAAGCCUGAUCCAGCCAUGCCGCGUGUGUGAAGAAGGCCUUAUGGUUGUAAAGCACUUUAAGCGAGGAGGAGGCUACUUUAGAUAAUACCUAGAGAUAGUGGACGUUACUCGCAGAAUAAGCACCGGCUAACUCUGUGCCAGCCGCCGCAGUAAAAC